rnacentral:rRNA from 1 species
AGCAGCCGCGGUAAUUCCAGCUCCAAUAGCGUAUAUUAAAGUUGUUGCAGUUAAAAAGCUCGUAGUUGAAUUUCGGAAUCAAUACGUCGGUCGUGCUUCGGUACGUACUGGCGUAAUUGAUUUCUCCCUUCUGACGAACCAUGGUGUCAUUAACUUGGUGUCAUGGGAAAUCAGGACUGUUACUUUGAGAAAAUUAGAGUGUUUAAAGCAGGCUCACGCUUGAAUACAUUAGCAUGGAAUAAUGAAAUAGGACGUUCGAUCCUAUUUUGUUGGUUUUUAGGAUCAACGUAAUGAUUAAUAGGGAUAGUUGGGGGCAUUAGUAUUCAAUUGUCAGAGGUGAAAUUCUUGGAUUUAUUGAAGACUAACUACUGCGAAAGCAUUUGCCAAGGAUGUUUUCAUUAAUCAAGGACGAAAGUUAGGGGAUCGAAGACGAUCAGAUACCGUCGUAGUCUUAACCAUAAACUAUGCCGACUAGGGAUCGGAUGAUGUUAAUUUUUUAAUGACUCAUUCGGCGCCUUAC